rnacentral:rRNA from 1 species
CACCUGCCUUAAUAUCUCAAAACUCAUCUUCGGGUGAUGUUUGAGAUAUUUGCUCUUUAAAAAUCUGGAUCAAGCUGAAAAUUGAAACACUGAACAACGAGAGUUGUUCGUGAGUCUCUCAAAUUUUCGCAACACGAUGAUGAAUCGCAAGAAACAUCUUCGGGUUGUGAGGUUAAGCGACUAAGCGUACACGGUGGAUGCCCUGGCAGUCAGAGGCGAUGAAGGACGUGCUAAUCUGCGAUAAGCGUCGGUAAGGUGAUAUGAACCGUUAUAACCGGCGAUUUCCGAAUGGGGAAACCCAGUGUGUUUCGACACACUAUCAUUAACUGAAUCCAUAGGUUAAUGAGGCGAACCGGGGGAACUGAAACAUCUAAGUACCCCGAGGAAAAGAAAUCAACCGAGAUUCCCCCAGUAGCGGCGAGCGAACGGGGAGCAGCCCAGAGCCUGAAUCAGUGUGUGUGUUAGUGGAAGCGUCUGGAAAGGCGCGCGAUACAGGGUGACAGCCCCGUACACAAAAAUGCACAUGCUGUGAGCUCGAUGAGUAGGGCGGGACACGUGGUAUCCUGUCUGAAUAUGGGGGGACCAUCNAGAUCUGGAGGAAUACCGGUGGCGAAGGCGGCCCCCUGGACGAAGACUGACGCUCAGGUGCGAAAGCGUGGGGAGCAAACAGGAUUAGAUACCCUGGUAGUCCACGCCGUAAACGAUGUCGACUUGGAGGUUGUGCCCUUGAGGCGUGGCUUCCGGAGCUAACGCGUUAAGUCGACCGCCUGGGGAGUACGGCCGCAAGGUUAAAACUCAAAUGAAUUGACGGGGGCCCGCACAAGCGGUGGAGCAUGUGGUUUAAUUCGAUGCAACGCGAAGAACCUUACCUGGUCUUGACAUCCACGGAAGUUUUCAGAGAUGAGAAUGUGCCUUCGGGAACCGUGAGACAGGUGCUGCAUGGCUGUCGUCAGCUCGUGUUGUGAAAUGUUGGGUUAAGUCCCGCAACGAGCGCAACCCUUAUCCUUUGUUGCCAGCGGUCCGGCCGGGAACUCAAAGGAGACUGCCAGUGAUAAACUGGAGGAAGGUGGGGAUGACGUCAAGUCAUCAUGGCCCUUACGACCAGGGCUACACACGUGCUACAAUGGCGCAUACAAAGAGAAGCGACCUCGCGAGAGCAAGCGGACCUCAUAAAGUGCGUCGUAGUCCGGAUUGGAGUCUGCAACUCGACUCCAUGAAGUCGGAAUCGCUAGUAAUCGUGGAUCAGAAUGCCACGGUGAAUACGUUCCCGGGCCUUGUACACACCGCCCGUCACACCAUGGGAGUGGGUUGCAAAAGAAGUAGGUAGCUUAACCUUCGGGAGGGCGCUUACCACUUUGUGAUUCAUGACUGGGGUGAAGUCGUAACAAGGUAACCGUAGGGGAACCUGCGGUUGGAUCACCU